rnacentral:rRNA from 1 species
AGGAUGAACGCUGGCGGCGUGCCUAAUACAUGCAAGUCGAGCGGUAAGGCUACUUCGGUAGUACACGAGCGGCGGACGGCUGAGUAACACGUAGGAACGUACCCCAAAGUGAGGCAUAAGCACCAGAAAUGGUGUCUAAUACCGCAUGUGAUCUUCGGAUUAAAGCUUCGGCGCUUUGGGAACGGCCUGCGCAUGAUUAGCUUGUUGGUGAGGUAAUAGCUCACCAAGGCGACGAUCAUUAGCUGGUCUGAGAGGAUGACCAGCCAGACUGGGACUGAGAACGGCCCAGACUCCUACGGGAGGCAGCAGUAGGGAAUUUUCCACAAUGGGCGAAAGCCUGAUGGAGCAACGCCGCGUGCAGGAUGAAGGCUCUCGGGUCGUAAACUGCUUUUAUAUGUGAAGAUUAUGACGGUAGCAUAUGAAUAAGGAUCGGCUAGCUCGCGCCAGCAGCCGCGGU